GGGGGGCUUACCUGCAGUCGAGCGGGGAGGGGUAGCUUGCUACCUUUCCUAGCGGCGGACGGGUGAGUAAUGCUUAGGAAUCUGCCUAUUAGUGGGGGACAACAUUCCGAAAGGAAUGCUAAUACCGCAUACGCCCUACGGGGGAAAGCAGGGGAUCUUCGGACCUUGCGCUAAUAGAUGAGCCUAAGUCAGAUUAGCUAGUUGGUGGGGUAAAGGCCUACCAAGGCGACGAUCUGUAGCGGGUCUGAGAGGAUGAUCCGCCACACUGGGACUGAGACACGGCCCAGACUCCUACGGGAGGCAGCAGUGGGGAAUAUUGGACAAUGGGCGAAAGCCUGAUCCAGCCAUGCCGCGUGUGUGAAGAAGGCCUUUUGGUUGUAAAGCACUUUAAGCGAGGAGGAGGCUACCGAGAUUAAUACUCUUGGAUAGUGGACGUUACUCGCAGAAUAAGCACCGGCUAACUCUGUGCCAGCAGCCGCGGUAAUACAGAGGGUGCGAGCGUUAAUCGGAUUUACUGGGCGUAAAGCGUGCGUAGGCGGCUUUUUAAGUCGGAUGUGAAAUCCCUGAGCUUAACUUAGGAAUUGCAUUCGAUACUGGGAAGCUAGAGUAUGGGAGAGGAUGGUAGAAUUCCAGGUGUAGCGGUGAAAUGCGUAGAGAUCUGGAGGAAUACCGAUGGCGAAGG
rnacentral:rRNA from 1 species